UCUUAGCUGUGAAACUUGCUAAAAAAUAAAAAAAGUCGCAAUGUAGAAUGAUACGGUAAAAACAUUCCAUUACAAAAGGAAUAAUAAUAGCAAGCCAACCAUUAAAUCUUGCAGUAGGGGUUCCUGUGUUUGGGAUUGAGACCUCUGAUAAACUUCGCGAUAGUGGCAUGCUUGGUGGCUAGAAAGUUUCUGUGCAAAAGCACAGAAUGCCUGGCUGCUAGGAAUUUUCUGUAUGCAGAAUGUCUGGCUGCUGGGAAACUUCUGUGUAAAGACAUGGGAUGCCUUGCUGCUGUAAUGAUGUCCUUCACAAGGAAGCUCUAUCAUCUAAGGCACACAGCUCCUGGGAAUAUAGGGACUCUUCUUAGAAAACCACAAUGUUUCACUAAACCUAAAUCUGUCCACAUAACAGUAACUUUAUUAUAAAAUGGACUUUCUUGAGAGCUGCACAAAGCUCCUAACAUCCUUCAUUGUAACUGUAAAAUGCAACUACAAAAUAAGCCACUUUACUGAUACUCUAAACAAUAAUGUAGUUAUGGUCCUAAUGACCAAAUGUAACCUACUGGUAGAAAUAAUCAUGGCCGCUUGGACAAGGAGUCACUUCUUUUCCUGCCUCUGCACCUUGUCUCCGUGUCUCAAUUAUUAUUAUUCCUUACAUCUUACACCAACCAAAACCAAAGUAAAAGGGUAGGGAAAUGGAGCUGACCCUCUUUUGUAGCAUGACCUUCCCUGCCUUGUUCUCUUGGCUUCUGAAAGGCAUAGUUCAAGUGUGUUCAUACAAUACUGGACACAAAUGAACUGCCUUCUUGUGUAUACUUCAAACAUAGUAAUCACCACACUCUACUAUGAUAAGUGGUUAGUAAAUUUUUUCUUAUCAGGAGACUGUAACCUCCCUCAAGACAAAGUCUUAUCUCGUUCAACAUGUAGCCCAGUAUCUGGUGAAUGACCUGCAAAUAUAUAGUAGAUAAAGCUUUCAGAACAAAAUUUAUUAAAAUGUAUUUUUUCAGUCCAAGAUUUUGUUUAUUAGAAUAAUUAAUGUGGUAUCACUUUACAGAGAAUUUGGGUUUCACUUACAACCAACAAAUUUUUACUUUCCUAUCUGGUUCUAAUAGUCUGUGACUAAAUAUAAUGCCAGUUAGACAAUAAGAAAGAAGAAAACCCUUUUACAGACAGACCUCACUCUGAUGUUUUAUUUCUUUUUCAAAACAUUUCCACCAAUUCUAUGUGGGCUUUCUCACAAAAUAUGUCACCUCUCAAGUACAAUGAAAUCUUUGAAAGUCAUCUCCAGCUUCCAAAGUCCAAUAAAAAUUGCAGUUCUGAACUGACAUUUACUAAUACAAAGUUAGAAUUAAUAUGAAUAAAUUAAUUAAUUAAUAUAAAUUAAUUAAUGUAAAUUAAUAUAAAUUAAUUUUAAUUUUAUUUGUCAUAAUUAGAUUUAAGCAUUAAAUAAUUAGAGGAUUGGUUGAACAAGUUCUUUUAUAACUUUAAAAACAUCAUCUUGAUCUAUCAUUUUUUUCCAUUUUUUAAUGAGACUUAGAGCAUACUAUUUGGAACUGUCCCCACAAUUUUCAUACCUGAAAAAGAGGGCCUAUGUCCACAUCAAAACCAAGAUCAGCAAAUCCUGUAGCAAUAACUUUUGCUCCUCUGUAUGACCAUAUUGUCCCAUUUUUGCUACAAGACGACAAGGUCUGCGACCUUCCUGUUCCAUGAAUUUACUAAUUCUAAGGAACAUUUUAGAAGACAACAACAGUUAAGUAUAAUCGCCCAAAGAUGGGAUAUAAAAACUUCAAUUUAUUUACAGUAAAUAUUCAUAAACCCUUGAUCUGUUCACUUGCAUUUUUUAAUAUUUUAUUUUACAUUGAGAUGGGCAUUAAAACCUGAAUAUAUUUAUUAUCUCCUCCUUAGAGGAAAGUGAAAGAUGGCCUAGCCUCUAAGCCCACUACCCAGAGAAUAUCACAGUGAAGCAAAAUGGAAAAAUGUCAACUUUCCACUUUUUCAGCAGAAAUAGUUAUAUAUACACUAACAAGUACCUUCAGAUUCCUUUACAGAAUAUGUGACCCACUAAUUGUUUUAAAUUUUCUCUAUCUCGCAUACCUUUCACAAGUGUGAACACUCCCAAGAUGACUGCAAUGUAAUUACUUAUAAUAAUGUUUCAUCAGAGCAGAUUAUGCUAAGUGAAGGAAGCUAGCCAAUCCCUAAAAAACAAAUGCCAAAUGUCUUCUUUGAUAUAAGGAGAGUAACUAAGAACAGAGUAGGGACGAAGAGCAUGAGAAGAAGAUUAACAUUAAACAGGGAUGAG
rnacentral:lncRNA from 1 species